CGGCAGUUCCGAGGCGGGAAGAGCGUCCUUUGGAGUGCGCGCGCGCCAGGCGGGGGUGGGACUUAGGCGAAUCCGCAUGGCUAGCUCAGGCCCCGGAUGAGGAAGUGCGGGGGAAGGGGGGAAACCAUAGAGACGGAGAGGCGGUAGCGGCCGGAGCGCCCACUGGCUCUCGGCUCCGUAGGCUCAAGUAGACUUGGCGGCAGCGRGGCUGUGUCUGCAGAGGCCAAGCUGGCGGGGCAAGCACCGGCCGGAGAUCAGGCCUCAGGAAGAGGCCCCUUCUUGGAAUUUCCUCAUGGAGGAAUUGGCUACAGUGUCUGAAUCUUUGGAAAAUAAAGCCUCUUUCCGGAAAAGGAGUGUUGUGAACUUCUGAGGGCCUGAUCAUUAUUGGUGAACUGUUUGAUGUAAAAGACUUCACUCCAUAAUCUACAUCUGCCCUAAUGCUGUCAUCCGGAGUAGAGACUCAGCCAGUUCCACUUGAUUCCUCCAUGUCUGCCGUGGUACAGGAAUUAUACUCUGAACUCCCAGAGGACCUCCUGAUGCAGAACAGCAAAGAACUUUUACGUGCAG
rnacentral:lncRNA from 1 species